CAGGUUAAUCUUAUUAGGUAGGAAUUUCAUUUACAUUGAAGUAUUAAUCGUGCGAAUCGAUAUAACUUGA
rnacentral:tRNA from 1 species